rnacentral:lncRNA from 1 species
UUGUUCAUCUUGUCAAGCACGUAUUUAGUCUCAAAAUCUAAAAAAUAUAAAAUCCGUGUAUUUACACUAGUAGAGUAAUUAUGUAAUCACUCUAGUGUAAUUGCACAUAAUUACUCUACUAGAGUAAAUACACUAAUUUUUUUUUUUUUUACAUUUUGCAACUAAACAUCAUGCUUAAGUAGAUGGAACUAUGGAUUAUACCUCCAACCAAGCAACGAGUGAAGGAAGAAACAUGAGCAGACAAAGAAGAUCGAGAAUUAGCAAGCCAUGGCGGUGGUGGAACAUCUCUAGUUGUGUGUCACCAUAGCUUCUCGUAGAGUCCGGGGAGCUGGAACUGUGGUCAUCCACAGGUAAUCCCACCUCCGAUUCAAUUUUCUUGAUUCCACUUCCAAACCCGAAUAAAUCUUCGGCCCGAGCCUCACUGGACGCUGUAAGAAAGCUGUAACACAGAAAAAAAAAAUCCUUAAGUUGUUUACAGAAUUAUGGAUCCAAUCGACCUUGGAGGUCAAGAGGGGAAGAAGUGGUAUUUUACCUGCACAAUGCAUGGUGACAGCAUAGCACAUGUGAGAACACCAGAAUAAGGAGACCUAAAGCUGGAUGGACAAAAUAGACUAAAACGAUAGCAAGAAGUGAUGUGGCCAAUGACGGAUUGGCGUUUAUGACCCUAGUGACCUGUCACAAAAUGAAAAUAAAUACUUUUUAGACAAUUAAAAAGGAAAAGGGAAUAUUUGUAACGCUAAAAACCAAAUAAAAAUUACCUUAAAUGAGAAAAAACUAGUGGAGAGAUCAAGUAUCCACCAUCUCCACCUGCAAAGGAUAUUCAUGAAACGAGUUGAUUUGGGUUAUGCUCUAUCUCUAACGGGUCAAACGGUCAUAUAUAAAAAAGUUGAAAAAAACAUUUCUUUUUGCUUUAAUGCAUACCACACCCUAAGUCAGCUUUAAGCAAAAAAGAGAUUAGAUUUAAGGCGUAUUAAUAUAGUGUGAAAACUUGAGAACAAAAACAUCACUUUCUACUUUAUUAAUGAUUUAACACUUGUUAAUAUAUAGAUAUAGAAAAAAGAGUAAAAUGUCAUUUUUGUCCCUGAGGUUUGGCAUUUUACUGUAGAAAAAGUAUGAGAAGCUAUUUAAUACUUAUUGCUAGUGCACACAUGGUCACACGUUUUAAGUGCAGUCUUUUUGACGACAAUAAAAAAUUUACGUGAUUGAUAGUGGUUCUUUUCUCAAGUUCUCAAAUAACUUGUGGUUCUCUCAGGAUCCUCACCCUAUAUAUAUAUAUAUAGUGAAAGUGUAAAAUACAAUAUUUCUUAACGUACGAGCGUACGCUAUGGAAAUUACGCAUGUUGAAAGGAUUCCGAGUUUGUGAAGUAGAUUCCGAGUUUAUGAUCUUUUACGCAUGUUGAAAGAUAAUUACGCAUGUUGAAUGAAGGUUCCGAGUUUGCCAAAGAGAUUCCGAGUUUAUGAAGUAGGUUCCGAGUUUGCGAAGUAGUGUUCCGACUAACGAGUUUAUGUCAACACGCGUGAUUAUGUUUUUCACAUGCGUGAUUAGGGUUUUGAGUUUCACAAUGUGCGUAAUUUCACAGCGUACGCUCGUAAGUUAAGGAAUAUUGUACGUUAACCGGCCUCUAUAUAUAAUAAUACUGUUACUUUUAAUUAACCUAACAGGGUAGGGAGAGAUUUAUGAACUUCAUAAAAGUUGUGUUUAACAAAAGGAACAACCAUUUUUAUGAUAAGAGACUGUGAUCCACCUACGCAGUUGGUCCAACAGCAAGCACCAGUAAUUGAUUGACUAGUAAUAAUAUGAUUUAGUGGUUUUAUUCUUCAGGUGAUGCUAUGCUAGGUACUAGGUAAUAUAUAAGACUUGUGUAGAUACAACGAACAGAGCCAAAAUCUCCGCACAAUUGCUUAUGCUUUUUUUUCUCUGAUAGCUUGCAAGUAUUUUCUCUUUAAAAUAGUAUUAUAAUUCUGAAACAAUAUUAUAGUUACUGAUAGUGUCUAUGGUAGACUACAUUAUAAUUUCUGAUAGCUUACUUUAAGCUCACAACUUGAUAGUGUAUAUGAAACUUGGAGCAAAACAAAGAAAUGACUCGGAACCUGCUUUGCUCGUUUUAAUAGUCGUAAAUGCUACCCAGUUAUUUCCCUUGAUCAAUUAGAUCAUCGUUUUGUAUCACGUAGUGAGUGCAUAUGUAAAACAAAAAAAAAGACACCAAUUUGAGCUCUCUCUACUUAUAAUAAUUGUAGUAAUUUAAUUUAACACCUUAGUUUUAGUAUAUAAUUGAAAGAUGGGAUAGUCAGUGUUUCCCUCAAACCAACCUUACCUGUGACUCGUACCAAAAUUAGACGUUUGACCCGCCCAAUCACCCACUUUGCCUCAUUUGUUGGGUAUUAUAUAGAAGUGAUGAUUUACAUUAAACCAAGUUAAAAGUGAGGCUGAAAGUUUCCUUGCUACUUGGAGGAAUGCAGUGUUAUUCUUUAUUUUAAACAGAGCUAAAAUACUGGCACACCUUAAUAUUUUGUUGUUGAGAUGUUUGUUAUGUGUUUGAUGACAAAAAUUAAAUCCCUAAUCAUUUUUUAAAACAUCUAUUUAUAACAUGUAUAUUAGUUCAGCCCAUGUAUCACACAGGUAACUAACCUUGUGUGUGUGUAUAUAUAGCGCGCGCGCGAGAGAGAGAGAGAGAGAGAGAGAGAGAGAGAGAGAGAGAGAGAUAAACUGACCUUGUCUUGAAGAAGACGUGUAUUCUGGCAACCAAAUGGGAGAGGAUUAGUGUGGUUAAUACUAAAACUAUUACGGUCCCGUUUGCUAUUAGAUAGCAAAUCAUUGAGACAACAAAGAAACUACCAACUGAAGGUAACGACUUUGAACUUAGAUAGGAAUAAAACAAAGCAAUCAGAACGGGUGAAAUAGCAAGUGAAAGAAACGGCAGUGGCAUUCUCAGAUUU